rnacentral:rRNA from 1 species
UACGUAGGGUGCAAGCGUUAAUCGGAAUUACUGGGCGUAAAGCGUGUGCAGGCGGCUUUGCAAGACAGAUGUGAAAUCCCCGGGCUUAACCUGGGAACUGCAUUUGUGACUGCAUGGCUGGAGUGCGGCAGAGGGGGAUGGAAUUCCGCGUGUAGCAGUGAAAUGCGUAGAUAUGCGGAGGAACACCGAUGGCGAAGGCAAUCCC